CUGCCUUUGGGCAUGAAUUGCUAAAGCCUUAUUAUGCCAACUAUCAUAUUUUAGUACGAAGUGUGCUAUGGAUGGUUAAUUCUUUCAUAUUUAAUGUUUCCCUUUUGUUUGUCAUGUUAAGUCCACAUAAACUGUCCAAACAUUUUGAUGCAUCAUGAAAGACUUCCACUUCCCCCCCCUCCCCGCCCCUCCCUUUUUUUUUUCCUUGAUAAUGUCAUACAUUAUUAUUUCCUUGCUUUCUGAUGCCACACCAACUAAUAGAUUCCUGAGUAGAUCAUUACCCACACCCUUUGUAUGGGCAUUCUUCUUGAGCAUAAAUGGUUUCUUAGUCUUUGUCCUUUGAGCUGGUUGUGUAAUAACUGAUAUAUAAUCAGAAAUUUAAAAAGCAAUUGCUACAAGUGAGGACCAGAUUAGUUAUGAAAGAAAAAUGUGUAUAUUUUUUUUUUGUUACAUGCCUUUUCCCCAUAGUUAAUAAUGAAGAAAUAAGUUGUGCAUCAUAAUUUUGUAAUAGAACAUGGAAAGUUGUUCUACACUUAUACUGAUGAUAAAUUUACUUGACUGGAAUCGGAAGCUGCACUAAUUCUUUGAUAUACAAUCUGAAAUAAUACAAGUUUGGCUCUAUCACAGACCUGAAUUAUUAGAUGGUUUUACUGGAGAGAAUAAAACUACUAUAUACGUCCUUUGUGUCUCAUAUGUCAUUUUUUGGUACUCUGUCUAGCUGUUAUUGCAGUCCUCUUCUUGUGAGGGGGUAGGGUAAUAGUGUUUAAUCAAAUGACUGUUCCCAUAUAUGUUGAGAAUUUUUAGGUAUAUUUACGUUACUAACUACUAAACUGUGCACUAGAUGGGGCAUGGAAUGCGUGGGGUAUUCAUGAGACCCUAUUGUUCAAAUUGUACUGAAUAAAAGUUAACUGACUAAAACACUAAUUAGUACCCUGUGGGUUCUUUUUAUUUUUUUACACAGUUCUGUUUUUUCCUUUAUGGGUAGCAUGCCCCCAUUUCUUUUGUCUGAAAGUUUUGUUGAAUAUCAAGUGCCAAGUCUCCAAUAUGAAAGUUCUUACUUUGUUGGGGAAAGUAGAAACCACUUUAUACGAAAUUUAGCAUAUUGCUGUUGGCGAGAUUCAAGGUUUGGAACACUAUACUAAAAAGCAUCAAGCAUCUGAGGUUUUCCAACAACCUAAGAAAGAUUAUUGUGAGAAUUAGAUACUAUGGUCUUCAGAUAUCGAUAAUUAGUUACAUGGGCGUUCAUUCACUUUCAGUGUACUGAUUCAAGCUAAGGCUACUGAAAAGGUAAUAAGUAUUAAGGGUUAUACAUUAUUCUCCUAAUUUGGAAAAACUUCUAUCUUCCAAGCUUAUUAUCUCUAUGCUUUUGUCGGUAUGCUUUUCUGUCAAAUAUUAGACCAAAUUUUGAACUUGCACUGAUUGAACUUCUCUCAGAUGAAAGAUGUUGAUUGGUCUCUCACUUUUUUACUAACCAAAAUGAGGAUGGUUCAUAAGUUCAUUGAGUUUACUUUGGCGUGCAAAAGGAGCUAUUUCUUUUUGUAGGAUCACUGUAAUAUCUUAUUCAGUUUAACUGCUUGAUUUUUUUGGCUUGAAAACUCCAAUUAUGAGUCUAUAAUGGCUAAUGGGUGUGGAUUUUGGGAUUCUUACCCUUGCAUUUCUGAUUGUGAUGGCUACAGACUUCAAUAUGUGUGGUUAGCAAUGUAGCAUUGAGACUGUAAUUGGAUGAUACCUUGCAAUUGAGUGGCAUCCUAAAAUGCCCCUUUUUUCUUGGGGGUCUGUAGGAAAUGUAUAAUCUGGAGCAUAUCAGGCUGCUUUUGAAAAAUAUUUCUGAAUCGUCCUUCCUUUUUUUUUUAGCUUGUUUCAGAUGUAUAAUGUCACUUAUGAAGUCAUGAGUAUUGUUCAGCAAAAUUUGUCUGCAUAUUACAGUCUUGAUGGUUUUGGUGUCAAUAGGAUCUCAGAUUUCUUGAAGUUCUAGCUACUGUUUAUCACGGUGAUAUAAGCUGAGUGUCAGAAUUCUUAGAUUAAUUUACUCACACGUUUUUAUCACUACUACUCCUUAAUUUUAUUCUUGGUAAUCUUUUUAGACUCUUAAAUUUUACAAUUUUUACUUGGAUGCUCUUUCUUUGUCGGACGGUUCCUUAUAAUGAUUCAUGUUAGCCGACCCCAAAUCAUUUUGGGACUAAGGCGUUGUUCAAUUUUUUCUUGUAUAAAGGCUCCCUAAUAUUUUUAUCAAUUUUUUCUUGGAUAAAGGCUCUAUAUCUUUUCCAUUAAUGUUGUCACACAUUCGUGUUAAAUGGGUGCGUAGUACUUCUAAGGUAGUGUUUGACUUUGAAUGGUGUUUUUUUUAUUUUUUUUUAUUUUUUUUUUAUUUUUUUUAUAAUUAUUUUCAAUAGCUAUGCUUCUGUCAGCCUGACAGAUAGUGUCUCAAUAUGUAUUACAGCGGCUGAAGUAAAUCAUUGAGCUUACAUUAUAUUUAACUGUAGAGAUGUUUCUUUAGCUCAGACCAUCUCCAAGUCCUUUUUGUUGCUGAUGUUUCUCUGAAAUUGAUUCUUCAAGCUGAAUGUGCUCUUUUUCAAUGGUAUGUUGUGUCGUGCAGGAUUCUUCCUGUCAAGGAAACAUUUGGUUGUGAGAUUCUUAUGGAAGUUAUUCAACAGAGAUGAUUUGGUGGAGGGAGGCAGGAAUUAUUGGAUUAAUGACGUGACAUUGGUGGGGUUCACAUCAUUUGAAGUUUCUGCACCCCAACACAGCUCAUUGAAAUCAAAGGAGGUAUAGAUGUUGGUAUGUAAAAUUCGGAGGCAAAUGACAUAAGAAACUAAAUUUACGAGUAUGAAAUUAGAAACUGAAGACAACUGUAUCAGCAAAUGAGAUAAAAUUUGGCAUGCCAAAGGUUUUUACAUGGCAUUGUUGCUGCUCUAGUGAUAUUACUGCAUGCCUGCACUCAAGUCACAACGUCGUCUGCAGCCACCCAUAGUCCCAUACCCACAACCACACCCUUACUGCCUCAACCACCCACCUUCGUUUGGGCCUCGACCAUUAUUAUUUACUCCCUCUGUUUUUAUUAAGGAUGACGAUUAUUUUCUUUUUUUCUUUAUUUUUUUUUAUGUUCCACGUCGACUAUGAGUUGGUGAGAAACUAGUAAGUAGUAACUACUGUAGAUGGAAAAUUAUUUGGGGGGUUGUGUCACUUGUUGUUUGGACAUGAUUGUUAAACCAGAAUUAACGAGGUUUGAAUUAUACUUGUCUCUUUGAAUUUUGAAUUUGA